AUACUGCUGAAGAGUCCCAAACUAGGAUGAAACAGCUGUCCAGUAC
rnacentral:hammerhead_ribozyme from 1 species